UUUGUUUUUAUUAUCAGUCGGUGUACAAACUUUAUGGCUGUUUGCUGUUGUAGCUUCUUGUAGUGAAGGUUACGCUUGAAACUUGUGUUGGCUGGUUCUGCUUUCCCCAGUCAUGCCACGUUUGGGAGGGAGUAACUGAGUGUCUGUAAGAAUUCACUUUCCCUAUUUGCCUUCCUCAAGUCAAGCCCCAGUAUUUGCCUUCUAAUAGCCCCACUUCUCAGCACAGGUCUUGCAUGCCAUAGGGGGUCAGUAUUUUUUUCUUUGGGCAAUAGAAUAUAAAUCCCAAGAGUUAGUGCACAGUUCCCCUAUGCUAAGAUAAGGUCCUUGAUAAGAUUCCCACAUUUCUGGUCAGACACAGCCUGUAAUGAUGGCCAACCAACAUAUUUGGGCAGUGCUUCUGCACAGCCUGGGAAAAUUCUAUGCCUCCCAUGUUAAUCCUGCACGGCAGGAUGCACUUGUGUCUGUGCCAGAGAUCCCUGCCUUGUACCAGUGCAGGCAUUAGAAAGCUCAGGUGGAAAUGUCAGAGAUGUUUAAAAUCCUAUUUUCUCAUGUGUUCUGUGUUUUAUCAUCCUGCCACAGUAACAUGCCUGAGGUUUCUCUCAGUGAUUUUCUUCUCCAUUUUUUUUCAAUUGUAAAUACAUUCUGUAGACAUUCCUAGACUGAAAUGACAUUAUUGGGGCAACGUCUCUGUGCUACAAACCUCAAAGCAAAACAUGGUCUGAUAGAGUGUCAUGCUGAGCCACAGAAUGCUUUUUCCAAGGCAGUGUCACAAGUAUUCAGUCAAUAUUUGUUUCCCUUCUGUCUGUUUGCUUGAAUAUGUGUGAAGACUUCCCACAGCAUCCAAAUCCACUUUCUUUUCUCCACGUUGGUGAUCUAAAAAGUGCCUGUAUGUCUUAUGGGGCUACACUACAUUGUGGGACUACACUAAAAGCCUUUCUUCCUUUCCCACAGGGAGAGUGGAGAAUGCAGAGACAAGGGUGGAUGCCCCAUUCCUGGAGGUGCUCAAGGCCAGGCUGGGUCAGGCCCUGGGCAGCCUGACCUGUUGGAGGGCAACCAGUCCACUGCAGAGGAUGGGGCUGUGAGGUCUCAUCCAACCUCAGCCACUGUGAUUCUGUGAUAAGUUAGAAAACUGGAGCACAAAGCCCUCUAGGACUCAAUCCACAAUCAACAAGAAGUCUGAGUGUGGAUGGAGCUCAGCACGCUUUGCCUGUAGCCACAAAAGGGGUCUGCAGCAUGUGGAGCAACAACAGGGACAGCACUACCUCCCAUGAGCAUCUCUCUUCCCUCACUGCGGGGAUUCCCAUUCCCUGCCCAUGUCUGAGGGUUGGGAUGCUAUCCAGAGAGACCUUAACAGGCUGAACAGUGGGCCCAGACCCAGCUAGAUAUUCUGCAGAGCCAGAAACAUGCCUGGUGCCUUCCAUGCGCUACGUUUGUUAUGCACCUUCCUCAGAAAGUUCCUGACCUAAAACACAUGGAAAAAGAUGGAAGUGUUUUUGCUGGCUUCAGUUCAUCUGAGAUGAGCCAAAAGUCUUGAAUGGAGAAUACUUUAGUGGAAAUGAGAUACUGUUUUCAGUCGACCUUUUAUCAACCUAAAGAUCCAUGCCUCAAAAGAUUUAUUCAGGGACUUCCUUGUUUACUGGCAUUAUUCAUGUCAGUGACAAGUGCCUUUCCAUAUCUGAUCUGUAGGAAAAAUCUCCCUUUUCCCCCCUCAAUUGUAUGUAGUCCAAAGCUAACUGCAUCUUAGUACUGAGAUUGCUUUCUCCUUGAAUCAAAAUAUUUUGGUUCAGCCUGUGUAUUUUCACAGAUCUUAGCUAAAUCACAAACAAUUUCAUUUCUGUAGCAUCACCAGGCUGACAGAUGUUUCACACGAGGAGCUUUUCAGAAUCUUUCUCUCCACCACUACAGUCUGAGCAAGUACCUGAACGCUUCCUAAGAUGAUAUGCAACAGCUAUAGGAGCUGUAGGAGCAGCUGUAGCUGAGGAUGCAGUAGAUAUUUGGAUACCUGUACCUUAUUUCCAUGUGCAGUCACAAGGAAAGAAGUGGAAAGCUAUGUGCAGUAUAUGUCUCUUUUUCCAAAGUCUGUUCCCGUAUAUUUUUCUGCAUAACUGAGAUUAGAAGACAGUGAGAGCUGCUUUACACAAAUUCUUUCCAUUCUUUGCUUUUGCUGUCCCUGAAUUUUGCAGGAAUGAGGACUUAAAUUAAAAGAGCAGGUGUCCCACGAGUAACUAUUGCUGCUGCCUGUCCCUCCAUUAUGCAUUGUUGUGUUUAUAGCAGUUAGAGAAGCAGCUUUGACAGUGAUUAGAGGUAGCAGCAAUUCUGCUCACCAAUGCCAACUGCUCAUGCAGGGAUCCAGGAGGAAAGCUGUCAUUGUGCCAUCAAAGGAUAAAAAAAAAAUUGCAACAAACAGUGGCACAAAAAGACUGUUUUAGAGAAAAAAUAUCUUCAAAAUCUUAAAUAAGUACAACCCAUAAGAGAAAGGGUUGAAUCUAAUGGGUGCCUUCAAUGAGCAUCACACCAGUUGAGGGCACGAAGAUACGUGAGCAAAGUGACAAAAAUGAAGCUCUGAGUAGCAUAAGCCUUUAGUAAGGGCUGCAUCUCUUUGGAAGGAAGAAGGACCUCUCUUGUUGAUGCAGCAAAGAGGCAGAAAGUCAUUCUGCCAACACUGGUGCUGACAAGCCCAGCAGAUGAUUGUCAUCAGGCCAAUCAGAUGGGAGUUUCUACUGAAUGUCGAAUGCAGCUAAAGAUCUGAUUUGCCUUGCCUGCAGUCAGUCGGAGCAAACACCUACCCAGGCACUCAGCACCUGGGUAACUCCGCAAAGACAAGGAAAAGUCAGAAAUGGGCAACACCUUGCAGGGGAGGUUGUAAAUGGAAUGUAAUGGUCCAGAGAGAGGGGAAACCUCAUGCACAUGAAGGGUUAUGCCCACUUCUCCUGAAGGCGAUGUCUUGUUGGCCAUGUCAACAAGAAGGCAGUGGGCAUAGGUCUGUGCCAGCAGAAUUGCUUUUACAAUUCUUUCUCCCAAGUUCUACUCUGUUUC
ensembl:lncRNA